CAACUACUCCCUCUGUCCCAAAUUUCUUGUCUUAGAUUUGUCUAGAUAUGGAUGUAUCUAAUACUAAAAUGUGACUUGAUACAUCCGUAUCUAGACAAAUCUAAGACAAGAAUUUUGGGACGGAAGGAGUACUUU
rfam:Triticum urartu cultivar G1812 contig440921, whole genome shotgun sequence.